CUAAUUUCUACCAUGGUAGGGUGGUGUCUCCUUCCAGCCAAGAGUCCCAAAUUCUAUGUAAAGAUUUAGGAGUGUCAUAAAUUUGGCUCAUAACUUGUCUACGUCCAGGUUAUCCUGAAUUUUCUUGUGGAUUGUCAGGGUGGAAGAGAUUUUGGUGGUGGACCAGAGUUUGCGUAUGGCUCGUUUUGUACCAAAGGCUAGUCAGGAUGAAAAUUUAAGGGGAUUUGGGAGUUAAGAACCAUCUGAAUAACAUCUUGUAAGCCUGUUCAAGAUGUGUCACACAGAUGGUAAGGGAAGCAGUACCUUCCCAUAUGUUGGCCAGUCUAAAGACCCAUUCAGAGUGAUUCCCAAGCUGCAAUGUACGGGAGUAUAAGGUGGGAUUUAUGAGUGACCAGGGAUAGAUAUAUGUCCGAUAUAUGGCCUUUUCUCAAAAGUUGUUAAUGGAGCUGUUCCCGCUUUCAACUGUG